CAGUAGCCGGCGGGAAUACAGAGGAUGCAAGCGUUAUCCGGAAUGAUUGGGCGUAAAGCGUCUGUAGGUGGCUUUUCAAGUCCGCCGUCAAAUCCCAGGGCUCAACUCUGGAACUGCCUUUGAUACUGGGUAUCUUGAGUAUGGAAGAGGUGAGUGGAAUUCCGAGUGUAGAGGUGAAAUUCGUAGAUAUUCGGAGGAACACCAGUGGCGAAGGCGGCUCACUGGUCCAUUACUGACGCUGAGGUGCGAAAGCGUGGGGAGCAAACAGGAUUAGAUACCCCAGUAGUCCCUGUCUCUUAUU
rnacentral:rRNA from 1 species